UUUUUCAGGAUCAUUGUUUUUAUCAAGGUUAUGCUGCAGAAAUUCCAAACUCAGCUGUGACACUUAACACCUGUUCUGGUCUCAGGGGAUUAUUGCAGUUGGAGAAUGUCAGUUAUGGAAUUGAACCAUUACCAUCUGUAGGUACAUAUGAGCAUAUGCUUUAUCAAAUAAGAAA